GUCCACGCCGUAAACGAUGUCGAUUUGGAGGCUGUGUCCUUGAGACGUGGCUUCCGGAGCUAACGCGUUAAAUCGACCGCCUGGGGAGUACGGCCGCAAGGUUAAAACUCAAAUGAAUUGACGGAGGCCCCGCACAAGCGGUGGAGCAUGUGGUUUAAUUCGAUGCAACGCGAAGAACCUUACCUGGCCUUGACAUGUCUGGAAUCCUGCAGAGAUGCGGGAGUGCCUUCGGGAAUCAGAACACAGGUGCUGCAUGGCUGUCGU
rnacentral:rRNA from 1 species